GACGAAGGAUGCAAGCGUUAUCCGGAUUCAUUGGGUUUAAAGGGAGCGUAGGUGGCCUUAUAAGUCAGUGGUGAAAUCUCUGGGCUUAACCCAGAAAUUGCCAUUGAUACUGUAGGGCUUGAGUAUAGUUGCCGUUGGCGGAAUAUGACAUGUAGUGGUGAAAUACAUAGAGAUGUCAUAGAGCACCGAUUGCGAAGGCAGCUGACGAAACUAUAACUGACACUGAGGCUCGAAAGUGCGGGGAUCGAACAGG
rnacentral:rRNA from 1 species